rnacentral:misc_RNA from 1 species
CCACAGGAAAAUCUUGUUGAAGUGGAUAUAGCAACCGGACCCAAGAACCUAUAUAAGGAAAGAUCAGUGCCGCCGGUUAUUCAAUUCAUCGAGAGGGGGUUGCUGCAUGUUGAAGAACCACAACCGAAGGCAUAAACGGCUGAAACGCCUACAUCAGAAAGUCCUAAGCAAGACAACUCUCCAAGAUCCACGCAACAAACAAAUAAACAACCUUGAACCAUAACAAUAGCACGCGCUAGACCAUGGAAGUUGAGAAUCAUAAAGACAGAU